rnacentral:tRNA from 1 species
GGGCCCUUAGCUUAGUCUGGUUAGAGCACUCGGCUCAUAACCGAGUGGUCGGUGGUUCAAAUCCGCCAGGGCCCA